rnacentral:rRNA from 1 species
GAUGAACGCUGGCGGCGUGCCUAAUACAUGCAAGUCGAGCGAACAGACGAGGAGCUUGCUCCUCUGACGUUAGCGGCGGACGGGUGAGUAACACGUGGAUAACCUACCUAUAAGACUGGGAUAACUUCGGGAAACCGGAGCUAAUACCGGAUAAUAUAUUGAACCGCAUGGUUCAAUAGUGAAAGACGGUUUUGCUGUCACUUAUAGAUGGAUCCGCGCCGCAUUAGCUAGUUGGUAAGGUAACGGCUUACCAAGGCAACGAUGCGUAGCCGACCUGAGAGGGUGAUCGGGCACACUGGAACUGAGACACGGUCCAGACUCCUACGGGAGGCAGCAGUAGGGAAUCUUCCGCAAUGGGCGAAAGCCUGACGGAGCAACGCCGCGUGAGUGAUGAAGGUCUUCGGAUCGGAAAACUCUGUUAUUAGGGAAGAACAAAUGUGUAAGUAACUAUGCACGUCUUGACGGUACCUAAUCAGAAAGCCACGGCUAACUACGUG